AUUUAAAUAGUUUAAUUAAAAUAUUAGUUUGUGGGACUAAGGAUAUGAAUAUUUCAUUUUAGAUA
rnacentral:tRNA from 1 species